UACGUAGGCAGCGAGCGUUGUUCGGAAUUACUGGGCGUAAAGAGUGUGUAGGCGGUGCUCUAAGUUCGGUGUGAAAUCUCCUGCUUAACUGGGAGGGUGCGCCGGAAACUGGAGUGCUCGAGCGUGGGAGAGGAAAGCGGAAUUCCUGGUGUAGCGGUGAAAUGCGUAGAUAUCAGGAGGAACACCUGUGGUGUAGACGGCUUUCUGGACCGUAGCUGACGCUGAGACACGAAAAGCGUGGGUAGCAAACAGG
rnacentral:rRNA from 1 species